GACGAACGUUGGCGGCGUGCUUAAUACAUGCAAGUCAACUGAAGCAGUGGUAGCAAUAUCGCUGUGGAGGUGGCGCACGGGUGAGUAACACGUAGGUAAUCUGCCUUCAGGUCUGGCAUAACUCCGGGAAACCGGGGCUAAUAGCAGAUGAUGCAGCGGCUCGACAUCGAGACAGUUGUUAAAGCUAUGGCGCCUGAAGAUGAGCCUGCGUCUGAUUAGCUAGUUGGCGGGGUAACGGCCCACCAAGGCAACGAUCAGUAGCUGGUCUGAGAGGAUGAUCAGCAACACUGGAACGGAGACACGGUCCAGACGCCUACGGGGGGCAGAAGUAAGGAAAAUUGCUCAAUGGGAGAAAUCCUGAAGCAGCAACGCCGCGUGAGGGACGAAGGGCUUUGGCUUGUAAACCUCUGUAGUGAGAGAAAAAAAUCCCAAUCUUUGGGACAUGAUGGUAUCUCAAAAGUAAGCCCCGGCUAACUACGUG
rnacentral:rRNA from 1 species